rnacentral:rRNA from 1 species
UACGUAGGGUGCAAGCGUUAAUCGGAAUUACUGGGCGUAAAGCGUGCGUAGGCGGUUUAGUGUGUGGGAAUUGAAAGCCCGGGGCUCAACUCCGGAUCCGGUUCCCAAACUGCUAGACUUGAGCGUAUCAGAGGACAGCGGAAUUCCCGGUGUAGAGGUGAAAUUCGUAGAUAUCGGGAGGAACACCAGUGGCGAAGGCGGCGAUCUGGGAAGAUACUGACGCUGAGGUGCGAAAGCGUGGGGAGCAAACAGG